rnacentral:rRNA from 1 species
CCUACGGGAGGCUGCAGUGAGGAAUAUUGGUCAAUGGACGUAAGCCUGAACCAGCCAAGUCGCGUGCGGGAUGAAGGUUCUAUGGAUUGUAAACCUCUUUUAUAAGGGAAUAAAGUUUGAGACGUGUCCUAUGUUGUAUGUACCUUAUGAAUAAGGAUCGGCUAACUCCGUGCCAGCAGCCGCGGUAAUACGGAGGAUCCGAGCGUUAUCCGGAUUUAUUGGGUUUAAAGGGUGCGUAGGCGGCCUUUUAAGUUAGCGGUGAAAGUUUGUGGCUUAACUCUAGAAUUGCCGUUAAUACUGGUGAGCUUGAGUGUGUUUGAGGUAGGCGGAAUGCGUGGUGUAGCGGUGAAAUGCUUAGAUAUCACGCAGAACCCCGAUUGCGAAGGCAGCCUGCCAAGCCAUGACUGACGCUGAUGCACGAAAGCGUGGGGAUCAAACAGGAUUAGAUACCCCAGUAGUC